rnacentral:rRNA from 1 species
UACGAAGGGGGCUAGCGUUGCUCGGAAUCACUGGGCGUAAAGGGUGCGUAGGCGGGUCUUUAAGUCAGGGGUGAAAUCCUGGAGCUCAACUCCAGAACUGCCUUUGAUACUGAAGAUCUUGAGUUCGGGAGAGGUGAGUGGAACUGCGAGUGUAGAGGUGAAAUUCGUAGAUAUUCGCAAGAACACCAGUGGCGGAAGGCGGCUCACUGGCCCGAUACUGACGCUGAGGGCACGAAAGCGUGGGGAGCGAACAGG